GGGCUAUGGUGUGGGCACUUCUUGAGCAUUGACUUGUAGUGUUCCAAUGCUUCGUACAAGGAUUCACCUUUAUAUUGUUUAAAAUUGGCGAUUUCUCGCCUAAGCUA
rfam:Gossypium arboreum cultivar AKA8401 contig_8640_7, whole genome shotgun sequence.